CCCCUCCCAGUUCUCUCCCUAGUCCUGCUGGUGGGUGAGUGAGGAGUGGCUGGGGGGGCUUGGGGCUGGAUGGGGUGAAACCACAACAGCCUUUGUUGGUGUCCAAGGUGGGGCUGGGAGCAUUGGAGAUCCUGACAGGCGGGAUUGGGAUGUGCUGCAAUUUACAGCUGCUGGUGCUGUCUGGGGCUCCUGGCUGUGUGUCAGUCUGGUGCUCCUUAGUGGCUGUUUGUUGCUGUCGCUGCUGCUGAGCUGCUCAGCUCUGAUCACCUCACUGUGCUGUGCCUGGGAAUGCUGGACAACAGCCCUGGCGAUGUGGCCGGGCUGGCAGGAGGCUCGGGAAUUGCUGCUGCACUGGACAGGCUGGAACUCCGUGUGAAGUUGAGCUGAAGGGCCUGUGACCUGUGGACGAGUCCAGGAUGGAGCAGAGACCCCCCUGCAGCCCAGGGAGGAGCCCACACCGGAGCAGGGGGUGCCCAAAGGAGGCCGAGAGCCCGUGGGAAGCCCCUGCAGAGCCGCGGAGAGAGGAGCCCACGCGGAACAAGCUCCUGCAGGACUUGUGACCCUGUGGGGACCGACGGUGGAGCAGCCUGUUCCCGAGGGACUGUCUCCCGUGCCAAGUACCCCACGCUGGACGGAGCAGACACGGACUCCGCUCUACCCCACAGGACGGAGCAGACACGGACUCCACUCUAUCCCACGCUGGACGGAGCAGACACGGACUCCUCUCUACCCCACAGGACGGAGCAGACACGGACUCCGCUCUACCCCACAGGACGGAGCAGACACGGACUCCACUCUACCCCACAGGACGGAGCAGACACGGACUCCUCUCCCUGAGCGGGAAGCAGCGCGGCUGCCCGCGGGCUCCUCCUUCCCGCUGAGCCCCGCCGGGCUCGGAACGAGUUUGUGCCUCGGCCUUGGCCGCAAACAUCGCAUUCGUUCCCCUGUGACAAGCCGACAAUGACACACUCGAGAGACACACUGAGUCGUUAUUACUCCAGAGCUGGGUGCCCGGUGCUGUUUCACAAGUCAGGCACCAACUCGCAGAGCUUUUUACUAUUUAUACAUUUUAGCAAACAAAGCAAACCAAGCUUGCAAGCAGCUGCGAGACAUUAAAGCUCGACAGAACA